rnacentral:lncRNA from 1 species
AUGAGGCAGUGUGCCACCUCAGUGUGUGUGACGGCAGAGGAGUUUCUCAUGAACUGGAGUUGCCCUUGGCCCCAGGUAAAGCUUUUUAGAGGGAGUUGUACACUAUAUGUAGGAUUUAUGUCACCUAACCUGUGCCUGAGAACAUUAGAUCUAAUUGGGUUCUGGAAGCUUGGCUGCAGAUCUAAACAUAUAUCAAUUGCUCUGUUACGUGGACGUCUCUCUGCAUCCUGCUUUUCUGGGAGAUUCACAAAGCAAAGCAGCUGCUGA